AGAGAUGGAGUUCGUAGAUGAUAAAGGAGAAGUCGCCACGGCCGGUCGUCGCCACCACCACCAUCGCUCGUUACCACCACCACCAUCGCCAUCUCUCCCAUCCCCAAUUGCUCGUUACCAUCACCACAAUCAUCAUCUCUCCCAUCCCCAAUCGCUCUUCACCACCACCAUCGCUUCUCAGAUUCGUCUUCACCACCGUCACGCUCGUCAUAACCACCACUGUUCACUUCUCUGCCUCUCACUCUAUGUCUCUGGUGGAGCAUACAGGACCAAGAGGGAUGACUCUGCCAAAACUAUGUCUCAGCGUUUGCAAGGUGGUGGUCGUGACUCGUGAGCAAGAGCUGAUGUUCUGCAGAGGAGAUGUCUCGAACUCGUCUCCGUCUAGACUCACACGAAUGUUGCAGUCUCUCAUUGGAAUUGCCAAGUGCAGCCUUUGAAGGAUUAUACAAAUAAAACAUUGCUCUACGGCAGACUUGAAGACAAUAUUGCUUAAGUAUGGGUGUUGAGAUAAGUUAUCUUGUUCGUUAAUCUUGUACUGAUUGGUUUCCAUCUUAAGCAUAGGUAUAUGUCCUCAAAUCAUUGUAUUUAGCAACACUUUUUCUGUGUACUUUUCAGAUACUGGGGAAGCUUGAAGAAGGUGGAAGAGACAGAUGAACCUCGAGGAAGGUUGAAGUGAAACAACGAGCUUGAGGAAGGCGGCGGCUUAGGUUUAGUUUUUGGGUUAAUGUGUUUUAAUUAGUUUUUGUUUUAUAUGUACUUGUUUAGUUUUGUAAAAUUGAUUGUAUUUGUAAACUGAUUUUAGUGAAUAAAUAAAAUUUCAUUUUUAAUUA